rnacentral:rRNA from 1 species
UACGAAGGGGGCUAGCGUUGCUCGGAAUCACUGGGCGUAAAGGGUGCGUAGGCGGGCUUUUAAGUCAGGGGUGAAAUCCUGGAGCUCAACUCCAGAACUGCCUUUGAUACUGAAGAUCUUGAGUCCGGGAGAGGUGAGUGGAACUGCGAGUGUAGAGGUGAAAUUCGUAGAUAUUCGCAAGAACACCAGUGGCGAAGGCGGCUCACUGGCCCGAUACUGACGCUGAGGCACGAAAGCGUGGGUAGCAAACAGG